rnacentral:rRNA from 1 species
GCGCUGCUUAACAUGCAGUCGAACGGCAGCACGGAGCUUGCUCUGGUGGCGAGUGGCGAACGGGUGAGUAAUAUAUCGGAACGUACCCUGGAGUGGGGGAUAACGUAGCGAAAGUUACGCUAAUACCGCAUACGAUCUAAGGAUGAAAGUGGGGGAUCGCAAGACCUCAUGCUCGUGGAGCGGCCGAUAUCUGAUUAGCUAGUUGGUAGGGUAAAAGCCUACCAAGGCAUCGAUCAGUAGCUGGUCUGAGAGGACGACCAGCCACACUGGAACUGAGACACGGUCCAGACUCCUACGGGAGGCAGCAGUGGGGAAUUUUGGACAAUGGGCGAAAGCCUGAUCCAGCAAUGCCGCGUGAGUGAAGAAGGCCUUCGGGUUGUAAAGCUCUUUUGUCAGGGAAGAAACGGUGAAAGCUAAUAUCUUUUGCUAAUGACGGUACCUGAAGAAUAAGCACCGGCUAACUACGUGCCAGCAGCCGCGGUAAUACGUAGGGUGCAAGCGUUAAUCGGAAUUACUGGGCGUAAAGCGUGCGCAGGCGGUUUUGUAAGUCUGAUGUGAAAUCCCCGGGCUCAACCUGGGAAUUGCAUUGGAGACUGCAAGGCUAGAAUCUGGCAGAGGGGGGUAGAAUUCCACGUGUAGCAGUGAAAUGCGUAGAUAUGUGGAGGAACACCGAUGGCGAAGGCAGCCCCCUGGGUCAAGAUUGACGCUCAUGCACGAAAGCGUGGGGAGCAAACAGGAUUAGAUACCCUGGUAGUCCACGCCCUAAACGAUGUCUACUAGUUGUCGGGUCUUAAUUGACUUGGUAACGCAGCUAACGCGUGAAGUAGACCGCCUGGGGAGUACGGUCGCAAGAUUAAAUCAGAA